rnacentral:rRNA from 1 species
AUUGAACGCUGGCGGCAGGCCUAACACAUGCAAGUCGAGCGGAUGAAGGGAGCUUGCUCCUGGAUUCAGCGGCGGACGGGUGAGUAAUGCCUAGGAAUCUGCCUGGUAGUGGGGGAUAACGUCCGGAAACGGGCGCUAAUACCGCAUACGUCCUGAGGGAGAAAGUGGGGGAUCUUCGGACCUCACGCUAUCAGAUGAGCCUAGGUCGGAUUAGCUAGUUGGUGGGGUAAAGGCCUACCAAGGCGACGAUCCGUAACUGGUCUGAGAGGAUGAUCAGUCAAACUGGAACUGAGACAAGGUCCAGACUCCUACGGGAGGCAGCAGUGGGGAAUAUUGGACAAUGGGCGAAAGCCUGAUCCAGCCAUGCCGCGUGUGUGAAGAAGGUCUUCGGAUUGUAAAGCACUUUAAGUUGGGAGGAAGGGCAGUAAGUUAAUACCUUGCUGUUUUGACGUUACCAACAGAAUAAGCACCGGCUAACUUCGUG